rnacentral:rRNA from 1 species
AGUAACACUGGGUAACCUGCCUUAUAGUGGGGGAGUAGCCUUUCGAAAGGAAGAUUAAUACCGCAUAAGAUUGUAGUAUCGCAUGAUAUAGCAAUUAAAGGAGCAAUUCGCUAUAAGAUGGACCCGCGUCGCAUUAGCUAGUUGGUGAGGUAAUGGCUCACCAAGGCGACGAUGCGUAGCCGACCUGAGAGGGUGAACGGCCACAUUGGGACUGAGACACGGCCCAGACUCCUACGGGAGGCAGCAUG